rnacentral:rRNA from 1 species
AGUGAACGCUGGCGGUAGGCCUAACACAUGCAAGUCGAACGGCAGCACAGUAAGAGCUUGCUCUUACGGGUGGCGAGUGGCGGACGGGUGAGGAAUACAUCGGAAUCUACUUUUUCGUGGGGGCUAACGUAGGGAAAUUUCUGCUAAUCCAGCAUAUAACCUACGGGUGAAAGCAGGGGAUGUUCGAACUUUGCGGGAUGGAAUGAGCCGAUGUCGGAUACGCUAGUUGGCGGGGCAAAGGCCAUCCAAGGCGACGAUCCGUAGCUGGUCUGAGAGGAUGAUCAGCCACACUGGAACUGAGACACGGUCCAGACUCCGACGGGAAGCAGCAGUGGAGAAUAUUGGACAGUGGGCGCAGGCCUGAUCCAGCCAUACCGCGUGGGUGAAGAAGGCCUUCGGGUUGUAAAGCCCUUUUGUUGGGAAAGAAAAGCAGCAGGUUAAUACCCCGCUGUUCUGACUGUACCCAAAGAAUAAGCACCAGCGAACUUCG